AUUGAACGCUGGCGGCAUGCUUUACACAUGCAAGCCGAACGGCAGCACGGACUUCGGUCUGGUGGCGAGUGGCGAACGGGUGAGUAAUAUAUCGGAACGUGCCCAGUAGUGGGGGAUAGCCCGGCGAAAGCCGGAUUAAUACCGCAUACGACCUACGGGUGAAAGGGGGGGAUCGCAAGACCUCUCGCUAUUGGAGCGGCCGAUAUCAGAUUAGGUAGUUGGUGGGGUAAAGGCCUACCAAGCCUGCGAUCUGUAGUUGGUCUGAGAGGACGGCCAGCCACACUGGGACUGAGACACGGCCCAGACUCCUACGGGAGGCGGCAGUGGGGAAUUUUGGACAAUGGGCGAAAGCCUGAUCCAGCCAUGCCGCGUGCAGGAUGAAGGCCUUCGGGUUGUAAACUGCUUUUGUACGGAACGAAAAGACUCUUUCUAAUAAAGAGGGUCCAUGACGGUACCGUAAGAAUAAGCACCGGCUAACUACGUGCCAGCAGCCGCCGUAAGAC
rnacentral:rRNA from 1 species